rnacentral:lncRNA from 1 species
CUACGAUGUGUGAAGAAAGAAACGUCCAGUACUCCACCGAAGCCUCUUCCAGCGCCCCCGAAAGUUUCUAAAUCGCAGUUUUGUGCGGCACAUCGCUCGACUAGCUGUGGUCAUGAAGACUGCUAUGUUUACUGCUGUAAGCAUUUACGUGAAGACAUUUAUUCUGCACCAGAUGGAGUUGAUUGCAGCAGUGACGGGACAGGCUUGUACAAAAUGAGGUGCGUCAACGGAAAAUGUAAGAACCUGAGAUAGGCAGACACGGCCCUGCGGCACAGAAAUCAGUUUUGGAGCAACGACAACCGAUCGACAGCGUUGUAUAAACUGCAUAAAGA